AUAUGAUUACUUAAGUUGAAAGAAAUUCCCCAAAUCAAAUCAGCUGGUGGUAAGAGAGGUGGAUUAAGCUGGAAAAUGUAGAAAUUUGUGUGACUGUGUGUUAUUUUAUCCAAACAUAAACUUCACUCAUGAACCCCCAAAGCAGGGUCUCAUUUCCAUUUGGAAAAUUGCAAUUGGUGUUUUUCUCGUUGUCUGUUUUGGUUCUUAUGAAAAGAAAGUGGAAAAAUGGCCUGAUGAGGUGGCAUAACGCAUCAAUCCACACUCCGUCUCUGACUGUUCUCCCCACAGCGGUCAGUCCACAAAGUCUCUAACACUUGCUGCUAUUAAUAAAAGCUGAAGAAAAUGAUGCCUUUGUCUGAAGACAUUAGCAGGAUUGUGGUUGUGUUCCAAAGGACUGGAGGCUGAGAGGAGGGUGUGAGAAGGCCAGUUGCCCAGGGCACCAACCUAAAGAGUUGCUAAAUUUAAGGGGGAAGGCACCCAGCCAGCCAUCAAUGAGCCACAAUUGCUCUGUCGCCAAUCUAGGUGUCCGUGUUGCUUGAAAUAGUUCUGCUUACUUUAAGCUGUUCUACCACAUGUGCUCAGAAAUUCUAAAGACCAUUUACACACUUUAUUGAAGCGAGUUUUUAAAAAUUGGACAUGCAGUCUUGCUCUAUACUCAUGUUAAUGACUACUUUAGAAUUAAAGUUAUUAAGACGUCUCAACAUUUUGAAUUUAAACCAGGAAACCAGCACCAUCUCCUGCCUCCCCUGACCCCCAAACCCUCCACAAUAGAAAAAAUAGUUUUCCUAUUUAGUUCUUAUUUGAGGAUACUGCAGUGUUUCAGCAUCCUGGCUGAACGGUAAAAUCACCUAAAAAUCUGAGCCACAUCAGAGUCCAAUUGAAACAGACCUCUGCGGCAUUUAGCUCACAUCUGAAACACCUGGAGGGCUUGUGAAAACAGAUCGUUGAGCCCUGCUCCCAGAGUUUCAGACUGAGUAGGUCUGGGAUGGAGAAUUUCCAUUUCCGUCAAGUUCCAGUGCCUGUCGAUGCUGCUCCAGGGACCACACUUUGAGAACCACCUCUCUAAUAUCUAACCACCUCUAACGAUCCUGACUCAUUCUGCAUAUCCUAAGGAGAACCACAACAACCUAACUUCAACUCCCUAAAGAAAUAAGAAUUAGAAGGAAUGGGGUUUCAGAGACUCGAAAGACUGAACUACUGGGGCUUGAGGAAAAAGGGAUUUGCUUGUGUCUAGGAGAGACUGUGUUCAGGGCUAUCUACGAUGGGGGUGGAGGGAAAGGUGGAAACAUUUAUCCAAUGCUUGCUGUCUCCCAUUGGUCAAAAGAGGUCCGGGAAUGUGAAAGCCCCUGCACUGCAGUUGUGUGUGUUUGGGGGGUUGGGGCGGGAGUGAAGAGGUGCCCAGGAGGGCCCCAAAGAGGCAGGGCACCUCAGAUGGCGGUGAGUGCCUGUGGCACAGGCAGGCUACCCCUGGGGAGCCGUCAGAGUCAUGCACUGCUGGCACAAGAUACAUCAGGGCUGGGAGGCUCCGGCUGGUACGGAAGAGGCGUGUGAUUUGGUUUCAGGGAGGGGCCAUGGAUGCCAGCGGAGUGGUCCAUAGUGCCCACCGCAGAACUCUCGGUCGCUUGUGUGACAGGAAUCUACACGUAAAAUAAAAACCAGCCACAAAAUCCUAAUAAGCCAUUUGUUUCAAAGUUCUCUCCAGAUUUACUAGCUCUGCAAAUUCAAUAGAUGGAGGCAGGCACCCGCUUUGUUCAUAGUGCCCAUCCAUACUGCAGGAGACCUUAGCGAGCACUAGAAAGACCCCAGAGCGCAAUGGGAAGGUGGGCUCUGGUUAUCAAGGAACGGGAUAACUGUCUUCUGGAUUAGUGAAAGUGGGUACGACGGAGAUGGAGAAGUGGAAUUCAAAGGUUGUUUUAGAAGGAUCCG
rnacentral:lncRNA from 1 species